rnacentral:tRNA from 1 species
GUUUCCGUAGUGUAGUGGUUACCACGUGUGCUUUGCACGCGCAAGGUCCUCGGUUCGAACCCGAGCGGAAACA